AUGACAGUCCUGGCAGCUCAACCCACCCCAGGGAUCUGCCCAGAAGCACAGAACUCUCACUAUGGCCUGGCCCGCGUUGCAGCUCAGUCUCAGGUACUAGAGAACUCUAUACUAUUUUUCCUCUAUAAGCAGGAAAAAAGACGAUGUCAUGAUACAGAUUGGGUAGGAAUAAAUAAUUUCAGUUUUCUCUUUAUUGGUAUAGCGAGUGCACAUAAUGGGCUUCUUUCAAAGUUUUUCUACAAGGGCUAAUUCUCAACUGCAAGACAAAACUGGGACUGUUUCUACUGCUCCCCACAAGACCUGUAAUUAAAGAGAAGUUUGAGAGGUGCAUGGAGAGAACUGAUUACACAGACCGUCGGAGACUCUCAGUUCAUCAAUGGGCAAGGGAAACCUAGGUUCUGUGUUAGAAGUAAA
rnacentral:lncRNA from 1 species